GACGAACGCUGGCGGCGUGCUUAUCACAUGCAAGUCGAACGGUAAGGCCCUUCGGGGUACACGAGUGGCGAACGGGGGAGUAACACGUGGGUGAGCUCCCCUGCACUUCGGGAGAAGCCGGGGAAACUGGGUCUAAUACCGGAUAGGACUCCGGACUGCAUGGCCGGGGGUGGAGGGGUUUUGCGGUGUGGGAUGGGCCCGCGGCCGAUCAGAUUGUGGGUGGGGUGAUGGCCUACCAAGGCGACGACGGGUAGCCGGCCUGAGAGGGUGACCGGCCACACUGGGACUGAGAUACGGCCCAGACUGCCACGGGAGGCAGCAGUGGGGAAUAUUGCACAAUGGGCGCAAGCCUGAUGCAGCGACGCCGCGUGAGGGAUGACGGCCUUCGGGUUGUAAACCUCUUUCAGCACCGACGAAGCGCAAGUGACGGUAGGUGCAGAAGAAGGACCGGCCAACUACGUGCCAGCCGCCGCGGUAA
rnacentral:rRNA from 1 species